GUGUCGAAACCUUUAUGGAGUGAAAAAAAGAUAAAAAUAAAAAGUGAAGGCAGCAAAAGAGAUUCUACUUCCCAUAAAAUGAAUGUGAUAAUUGGAAAGGGCCUGGAGUUGAAAAUUUGGAAUCCAUAAGCAAAAGCU